rnacentral:misc_RNA from 1 species
AUGGACGAUUAUGAAGACCAUGCUGAAAGAAGAAUUGCAGCAAUUGCAAAAACAAUUCAUCAAUAGGUGCAAUCAUUAGCAAUUUAAAAUUUUUCGUAACUUAAGGUUUCAUGUAUCAUGCAAUCACAUUAAGCUAUUGAAAAACAUAUCAUUUAGUCACACUAAAUCAUAUUUUAAAUGCUAAUUAAGCCUAAUUAUCAUUAGAAAACAUUUUUCCUAAAAUUAAACAAGUUAGGAUUUUGGAGAAUUUUUUACCCAAUACGUGUAGAAUCAAAUUCUCAACACCUUAUCCAGGAAGCUAGGCCGAUCAACUCAAAAUUCUUUCCUUAGCCUCCUUAUG